UAAUACUCCAUAGAUUAGAGACACUGGAAUGUUCUUUAGUCGAAAGUUCUGGCGCCUUAGGAUGGAUCUGCGGUCGAUUAGGUUGUUGUUGGGGUAACGGCCCAACAAGCCUGUAAUCGAUACGGGUUGUGGGAGCAAGAGCCCGGAGAUGGAAUCUGAGACACGAUUCCAGGCCCUACGGGGCGCAGCAGGCGCGAAGACUUUACAAUGCAGGAAACUGUGAUAAGGGAACUCCGAGUGCCCGUAUACGCGGGCUGUCCAGGUGUUUAAAAAUCAUCUGAAGAAAGGGCCGGGCAAGACCGGUGCCAGCCGCCGCGGUAAUACCGGCGGCUCGAGUGGUGGCCACUAUUAUUGGGCUUAAAGCGUCCGUAGCUGGACCGAUAAGUCUCUUGGGAAAUCCGCCGGCUCAACCGGCGGGCGUCUAAGGGAUACUGUUAGUCUAGGGACCGGGAGAGGUGAGAGGUACUCCGGGGGUAGGAGUGAAAUCCUGUAAUCCUCGAGGGACCACCUGUGGCGAAGGCGCCUCACCAGAACGGCUUCGACAGUGAGGGACGAAAGCUGGGGGAGCAAACCGGAUUAGGAUACCGGGUAGUCCCAGCCGUAAACGAUGCGCGUUAGGUGU
rnacentral:rRNA from 1 species